rnacentral:rRNA from 1 species
AUUGAACGCUGGCGGCAGGCCUAACACAUGCAAGUCGAACGAGUGGCGGACGGGUGAGUAAUGUCUGGGAAACUGCCCGAUGGAGGGGGAUAACUACUGGAAACGGUAGCUAAUACCGCAUACCAUCGGAUGUGCCCAGAUGGGAUUAGCUAGUAGGUGGGGUAAAGGCUCACCUGGGCGACGCUCCCUAGCUGGUCUGAGAGGAUGACGAGCCACAUUGGAACUGGGACACGGUCCAGACUCCUACGGGAGGCAGCAGUGGGGAAUAUUGCACAAUGGGCGCAAGCCUGAUGCAGCCAUGCCGCGUGUAUGAAGAAGUCCUUCGGGUUGUAAAGUACUUUCAGCGAGGAGGCGUUACUCGCAGAAGAAGCCCCGGCUAACUCCGUGCCAGCAGCCGCGGUAAUAC